UACGAAGGGGGCUAGCGUUGUUCGGAAUCACUGGGCGUAAAGCGCACGUAGGCGGGUCGUUAAGUCAGGGGUGAAAUCCCAGAGCUCAACUCUGGAACUGCCUUUGAUACUGGCGACCUCGAGGCCGGAAGAGGUUAGUGGAAUUCCCAGUGUAGAGGUGAAAUUCGUAGAUAUUGGGAAGAACACCAGUGGCGAAGGCGGCUAACUGGUCCGGUACUGACGCUGAGGUGCGAAAGCGUGGGGAGCAAACAGG
rnacentral:rRNA from 1 species